GUACACGCUGUGACUAGCAUAUCAAUAAGCGGAGGAAAAGAAACUAACAAGGAUUCCCUCAGUAACGGCGAGUGAAGCGGGAAGAGCUCAAAUUUGAAAUCUUGAAAGGUCACCUUUCACGAAUUGUAGUUUAAAGAAGUGUUUUCUGUUACGAUCGUAAUAUAAGUUCUUUGGAAUAGGACAUCACAGAGGGUGAGAAUCCCGUCUAUGAUUGCGAUUUGUAGCUUUGUGAUACACUUUCAAAGAGUCGGGUUGUUUGGGAAUGCAGCCCAAAACGGGAGGUAAAUUUCUUCUAAGGCUAAAUAUUGGCGAGAGACCGAUAGCGAACAAGUACCGUGAGGGAAAGAUGAAAGGAACUUUGAAAAGAGAGUUAAAUAGUACGUGAAAUUGUCAAAAGGGAAGCGUUUAACACCAGUGUUGUUUUCUGAAAAUCAACCUCUGUUAGCUUUAUGCAUGUUUGUUUAGACCUAAUCAGCUAUCUUUCAUGUUCUAUUGUUUGCAGUGGUGCACUUUUCAGUUUACAGGUCAACAUCAGUUUUUUUUACCGUAAAAAAGUUAAAGAAAGGUAGCUCAUGGCUCCGGUCGUGAGUGUUAUAGUCUUUUUCCUAUGCGGUAGGAGAGACUGAGGUCUGCAGUGUAGGCUAUUUGGCUAGAUACUCAGGUGCUAUGUGAUACCAUUUCAUAAACAACUUGUUGAUUAUGUUUUGUCUAUUGCAUACUCGCUUGUACUAUCAUACCUACGCUUAGGAUGUUGAGUAGCGACAUACGCAC
rnacentral:rRNA from 1 species